rnacentral:lncRNA from 1 species
AGUGAUUGCAAAUUCCUUUCCAGUAUAUUGUCAAGAAGGAUAGGAUGGUGGCCUGACACCCAGCUCUGCUAUUUAUUCUGUUAUCUCUUACAGGUUAGUCUCCCUCUUUGAGUCUUAGUUUCUUGUCUGUAAAAUAAGGGUGAUAUUACCGGUCCUCCCUGCUUGUCAGUUUUUGUGAAGGCAGUUCAAAAUAAAGUAUGUCAACAUAGUUCCUAAACCCCACAGUCUCCCAAAAGUGAGUGAGUUGGUAAUCAGUAGAGUGUCC